rnacentral:misc_RNA from 1 species
GAUGAGAACGUAGCGAAAUGCGAUAAGUAAUGUGAAUUGCAGAAUUCAGUGAAUCAUCGAAUCUUUGAACGCACAUUGCGCCCCUUGGUAUUCCGAGGGGCAUGCCUGUUCGAGCGUCAUUAUAACCCCUCAAGCUCAGCUUGGUGUUGGGGCCUGCUGCACUGGCAGCCCUUAAAAUCAGUGGCGGCGCCAUCUGGCUCUAAGCGUAGUAAUUCUUCUCGCUAUGGAGUCCUGGUGGAUGCUUGCCAUCAACCCCCAAUUUUUCUAUGGUUGACCUCGGAUCAGGUAGGGAUACCCGCUGAACUUAAGCAUAUCAUAAGCGGAGGA